UUUUAGAAAACUCGUAACUGAUCCACCUCCUACGUCUUGUCCGUUAUACGUUAUUAUGUAUACAGUGUGUACCCUACAAUGCCAUACGUUUCCACUCCUCCGCGGGAACCGUGUAUUGUUGUACGUGGGUCGGAAAUUCCGCACGAAUGCGACCGUAUACCGCAUUCAAUAUACAUGAGAUCUAGGAGUUUGGGGGUUGAGGG